ensembl:lncRNA
CACCAGCUGAAGCUAAUCACAGAUAAUAGCGCAGGGAAUAUUCAUUCUGGUGCAAUGUAUUCUCUCACAGAAGUGAUUAGUCUAAAGUUUUUGCAGGAACUUAAUGCCACUAAAGGACUUUGGCUUUGCUGGAAUUUGCGGAAUUGAACAAUGAGUGGAAGGAGAAGCAGGACCCAGACAAAGGAACGCUAGUGAAACGCUAGUGAGGCCUACGAAAGUAAAGUGCCAGAAUAGACAUUGGAUGAUAGAAAAUUCUUUGUAUGAAUCGAUUUAUUGGGGUCGGGAAAGCAUAAUAGUUGAGUAGGUAGGUGUUGUGAGUCAUUUCUGUUCCAUCUGACUCUCCUUGUAACGAGGGCUGAUUGGGAAACGUCAAUGCGGGGAGUAACAGCGCUCUAAUGCCCCCUAAAGUCGGACAGGAGUAUUGCACAUUGAAGAAACCGGAGCGAAAACCAUUUGUGUUCCUAUGCAAUGAACAUAUUGAUGAAAGUGACACAAGAGAUCAAGAGUGCGUUCAUGGAGGAUGCUGAUGGAAAGGGUAUCCCCCAAAUGAACGUGGAGACACCAGCUACUCUGCCUCCAUCGUGGUCACUGAGAUGAGUCUGAAGAAUACAAGACACAAAGAAAUUCUAUCGACAGGUGACGGGUGAGGAGAGACGAGGAGUUGGAGCCGUCCCUCUCGGAGGACGGGCUGACCUACACACUGGAGAUCAGAGACGUGAAGGCCAGGGAAGCGGGGGGCUACGACAUCAGCGUGGGAGACCUGAGGGCCACCAGAACCCUCCUCGUAGGCCGUAAGAGCCACCGCGAAACGAGCGCUUCUUCGCAGUGAAGAGCGACAUGUCGGAUGUUUUGUGUCCCACGGGCGCCCCUGCUGAGCUCUGCGUUGCCCUGGACGACGAGAAGGUGGACAGAGCGUGGUUUAAAUACGGAGUCGAGGUGAGAACAGGAUCACAAAGGGACCUCAGUAAAGGAGCCCUCCUCUUUUAGACGUAAAGAUGUUUGUGUUGCGAUGCCCUUUUGAACUACAUACACUGGUGAAUAACUACAUACUGAUCCAUGCACAUUAAUUCCAUAAUACGAAAAUCGAAAAAUUGUUUAUAGCACUUUUUACAAAUUAUAUUUGUAAAUAAACGACCAAAUUUCUAAAUGCAGUGAUUUUUUUGUGUGUGGUAACAGAAGCUGAACACCAGGGGUCAGAGUUGUUUCUGAAUCUGCUUGUGGAGUACAGAAUGGGAGAUAGCGGGAAGGUGUGAGUCAUUCUGUAGGGUAUCGCUCACUGUCAUUAUAAGUGACUAACCAAAUUAAUCACAGCCUAUUUCCUUUUAUGAUCACUCGGAUCAGAUCGUCUGUCUGUCAAUAUAUGUGUGCCAAUCUCUAUGACGUUCUUCUGUCUGUCUUUCACCACCUGGUUUGGAGCUUGCAUAAUUUCAUGAGAUCACUUCCGUUUAGGAUUGUCUGCUCCACAUCCUUCCUUCCUUCCUUCCUUCCUUCCUUCCUUCCUUCCUUCCUUCCUUCCUUCCUUCCUUCCUUUGUCCUUGUUUAGAGCGCUGAUCAGUUAAUCUCAGUGUGAAAGAGAGGACCUUUGAGGGCUCACACUUGGCUUCCAAUGAAUGAAACGCAUUGGGACAGGACUGGCAGAGCGUGUGUGUGUGUGUGUGUGUGUGUGUGUGUGUGUGUGUGUGUGUGUGUGUGUGUGUGUGUGUGUGUGUGUGUGUGUGUGUGUGUGUGUGUGUGGGUGUGUGUGUG